GCAUCGGUGGUUCAGUGGUAGAAUACUCGCCUGCCACGCGGGCGGCCAGGGUUCGAUUCCCGGCCGAUGCA